UACGUAGGGGGCGAGCGUUGUCCGGAAUCAUUGGGCGUAAAGAGCGUGUAGGCGGCUUGGCAAGUCUGACGUGAAAGCCCGCGGCUCAACCGCGGAUUGUCGUUGGAAACUGCCUCGCUAGAGUCCGGAAGAGGAGAGCGGAAUUCCUGGUGUAGCGGUGGAAUGCGCAGAUAUCAGGAAGAACACCCGUGGCGAAGGCGGCUCUCUGGGACGGUACUGACGCUGAGACGCGAAAGCGUGGGGAGCGAGCAGG
rnacentral:rRNA from 1 species